AACGGGUGACCUUCUACUACKUUGAUACCGUGCGUCAUUCAGGUCAUUGCUUGUGUCAACUGAGAAAAAGUCCGGAUGUGACGUAGGCUACUACUACUUAAACCAAGCCUGCCGACUCUUWGUGUUCUCAUAGUAUUGAGCAACAAGCAUUUGMUUGGAUGUAGGAGAACUUCAAGGUCAUUUUCAGUCCAGAUAGCGCAUACCAUAGUCCAAACAAAMCCUAUUGUUCAAACAUAUACCAACCGUCAGGUACCGAGACAUCCCGGUUAGGCUCGAGUCGUGGUACUUGAAAAAUGAUUUCAACCAAGACGCUUUCAGUGCUGCUGUUACUCGCAUUUGGAGUUUGCUUGCCAUUGGAGGCAAAAGGUCAAGAUACGAGAAAAGUACCUAGAGAUUUAUGUGCACAUCGCAAAUUCGAUCAAAAAUUCCAAAUCUGCUGUGCUGGACUGAUCAGUUUUAAACCAUUAAAUGGUGCCUGCUGUGGACCAAAGAGCUACAAUACAAGGACCCAG